GUCUGGACGCGCUGGGUGGAUGCGGGGGGCUCCUGGGAACUGGGUUGGAGCUGAACGAGCGCUAGCCAGGCGUAAGCGCGCACACACUGCAGCCGCCCGAGGACAACCCCCUCCCGCCGCCGCCCCCUCAGCCCACCCGGAGACCCCAGCGCCGAGUCGCCUCCGGAUCCCCGGCAGUCUGCGGGAGGUAAGAAGCGGUACUUG
rfam:Mesocricetus auratus contig127564, whole genome shotgun sequence.